UUUUAUCAUGGUGAGAUAUAUUAUUAUUAUUAUGAGCCUUGACCACUGCGACCUCUAGGGUGGUCUAUUGUGCGUGGCCCUUUACCCUAUAUAUGAAGG